rnacentral:rRNA from 1 species
GAUGAACGCUAGCUACAGGCUUAACACAUGCAAGUCGAGGGGCAGCAUGAACUUAGCUUGCUAAGUUCGAUGGCGACCGGCGCACGGGUGAGUAACACGUAUCCAACCUGCCUUCAACUCAGGGAUAGCCUUUCGAAAGAAAGAUUAAUACUUGAUGGCAUAACCUGGUCUCCUGACUUGGUUAUUAAAGAAUUUCGGUUGAAGAUGGGGAUGCGUUCCAUUAGGCAGUUGGCGGGGUAACGGCCCACCAAGCCGACGAUGGAUAGGGGUUCUGAGAGGAAGGUCCGCCACAUUGGAACUGAGACACGGUCCAA